rnacentral:ncRNA from 1 species
CUCCCUAAAAGCCUGUUCGAUUAGUGAUUCGGCCUUGGGCAGCGUCGCGUGUCGCCGCCUAGUGGCUGUUCAGAGGUGUCGUCUGCCGUGUCACGAGCGGCUUGCUCAAUCCUACCAUGGUUGCAACGGGUAACGGGGAAUAAGAGUUCAAGCCUAAGUCCCCUGGAAAGGGGCAUCAUAGAGGGUGAUAAUCCCGUACAUGGCUUGGAGCGCCCGAGGCUUUGUGAUACGCUUUCUAAGAGUCGAGUUGUUUGGGAAUGCAGCUCAAAAUGGGUGGUAAAUGCCAUCUAAGGCUAAAUAUUGGGGAGAGACCGAUAGCGAACAAGUACAGUGAUGGAAAGAUGAAAAGAACUUUGAAAAGAGAGUUAAACAGUACGUGAAAUUGCCAAAAGGGAAGGGUAGGAGGUCAGAGAUGCGGCCUGGGAUUCAGCCUUGCUUUUGCUUGGUGUUUUUCCCAGAUUGCAGGCCAACGUCGGUUUUGGGCACUGGAGAAGGGUAGGAGGAACGUGGCACCCCUCGGGGUGUGUUAUAGCCUCCUACUGGAUACAGCGACCGAGACCGAGGACAGCAGCGUACUCGCAAGAGCGGGCCUUCGGGCACCUUUACGCUUAGGGCGUU